CACACCAUGGGAGUGGGUUGCAAAAGAAUUAGGUAGCUUAACCUUCGGGAGGGCGCUUACCACUUUGUGAUUCAUGACUGGGGUGAAGUCGUAACAAGGUAACCGUAGGGGAACCUGCGGUUGGAUCACCUCCUUA
rnacentral:rRNA from 1 species